rnacentral:lncRNA from 1 species
CCCAUUCCUUGGGGUAUUGGACCUGAUAGGCUAUUGUUUGAGAGGUUGAUGUGGUUGAGGGAAGGUGUGUUAUUGAACAGAUACAAUGGUAUGUUGCCACUCAACUCAUUCCAUGCUAGAGUAAACCACUGAAGGUUUCUCAUGCUUUGCAGUAACCGUGGUGGAAUCUGCCCCGAGAGGGUGUUGUUACUUAGGCGAAGAAACUCGAGGCUUUUGAGGUUUCCUAUGGUACUAGGAAUGGCGCCUGAGAGGUCAUUUCCAUACAGAUCUAGGACCCUAAGCCGACGUAGCCUUCCAAUUUCAGCAGGGAUGAGUCCAGCGACACCAAUUCUUGUGAGGUUGAGCAUGCUGAGGAAGGAAAGAUUACCGAGAUGUUGGCUGAGCGCUCCAUGGAGGGGCACAUCCACCAACCGUAGAGCCGUGACACGCGGCCGGUGGUGGCUGCACGAGACCCCGACCCAUCGACAGAAGGACACGUUGGAUGUCCAGCUGCCGGCGAGGAUUCCGAGAGGAUCAGAGAGCAGCGAUUUGAAAGCCAACAGGGCAGUGAGGUCGGUGUAGCUACCGUUAACAUUGGUUACACUUGGGCUUGGAGAUGAAGAAAGGACAGCAGGCAAUAGGAUUGGUAGCAAGAUGGCCAAAAACACUAGAGGGACCGGGUAGCUUGCAAUGGCCAUUGUUGUGUAUUUUUGGGCUGAUAGGUCAUAGGUGGCAAUGUUAUAUACUUAUAUGUAUUUUUGGGUCAUAGGUCAUAGGUCACAUGUCAAAGUCUUGACUCGUGUUUCCUUUAUUUAUUUGUCACACGGUAUAUUUCUAUGGUGGCAAAAAAAAACAGUGUCACUAUUAUCUUGACUCAUGAAGUCAGCAAAGAUCUUUUAUAUUACUAUAAAGUAAUAAACAUUUAGAGACAUUUUGCUAAAUGUGAAUCCACGAUCUCGCCAUCUAGCGAUCGACAUUUCAUGAAUAUUGCUGCCUUUUAUAUUUACACACAUAUACAAUUCACUGAACGGAACGGAGAGUGUGUGCUGUCUCAUUGGACGUUGCCAGCUUGUGCGAAGACUAGAAUAUUGGCGGUCGUUGCACGGCAAAUUCCUGUCAGGUCAUUACGGGUUAGACAAGACGUGAAGACGAUGAUGGGUUGAAUAUUCUCUAGUACCUUUGCAGCCAUAGUCUCGUAUAGGCUACCGUCGAAUGCUACUUCCUGGUCAAUAACUCUACAGACGUAAAGACUGAUGUGGAUUAGUGUUGGUUCAUUUAUAUGGUGGCCUGUUCGGCAGUUGCAUAAAUGUAAUUUUUUUUCGUUUUGAAAUUUUCUCUUCAGGGUAGGAUAUAUCGAUCUCUCAGUGCAAAAUUGAAGGAUAUAUAUGCCUGUCUCGUAGGUGACACAGGUUAUGAACCACGACUAACAGGGUAUUUCCAAAGGACAGAAGCAGAGGAGCCCAUCCUGAUCAAUGUACAAAUUAAAUUAGUGACCACACUCAUGGAAAAAAGAACGCAUUUAUUCUAUUAUGAAAAGUUAACGAAACACUGUAAUUAUAAGCUUGGAUAUGCGUUGUUAAACUGAAAACAAAGUAUUUUAUUAGCUAAAAAAAUCAAUAAACUGGAUUAUUACAAAGUAACAUGCACUAGCAGUAGAUGAUGUUCCCAUUUUUCAGAUAGUCUUUUGCAUUUGUCUCUGAAGCGGUCAAUUCUGAUUAAGUUGCCAUAUUUUCUUUGUGGCCCCUUUAUCCACCAAAUAACUGCUAGGAAGUUGAGAUCCACAUGGAGGAAAUUUAGUCAUUUACAAGAUGCAACAAGUAGUUCAUACUAUACCCGCUGCUGCUGGUAACUAUCCAGCCAACAGCUUCGUAUCCAUCGUUAAUUCAAUAGCCACCAUUCACCACGAAAACAUCAUUUCAACAGAUCAUGAUAUACACUAUGAUUUCGCAAAGAAACAAAUUUGCGCAGCUGUGAAAGAAACAUGGGGACAUUCAUACCCUGUGUUAUGUGCAUACUAAUGAAUACAGUUGAUCGUAAACAAAUUGCUGGAUGCUAACUGCACCAUCAUGGCUACACAAUUACAAAUUCGAAAGUUAUUUCAGUUAGUGAGGCGGAAAUCACAAACUAUUUUUCAUUCGUUGGAUGCUAACUGCACCAUCAUGCAGAGUUUGGAGAGCAGAGUGGAAAGACAUAAUUAGUUUCUAAUAUAACAUGAAUGGAUCAGUUCGCAACGGAUCAAGUAUUUGUCCCAAUAAUAAAUCGGCAUUGCUUCUAGGUAAAAUAUCGAACACAUGGUGUCCUGUGCUGGCACAACAAUAGAGCUAUCUGAGGAACAGAUGCCUUUGUCAGUAGCAGAUCGAAUGAGAGGAACCCAGCAGGCAGCCUGAGAAGAAGACAAGCAGAAAUUGCCCCGGGCUCUAACCGUCUAUGGUCGACCGCAAAAUCCAUGUCGUGACCGCAAAAUCCACGGCAGUGGUCUUGUCCUCUGCUUUGUGAAUCUUCAAAUGCAUUAUUUGGAUUGCAGUAGCCACCCAUGAAGAUUAACCCGGGCUCGUUCAGUUGGAUUGCAGUAUUCAAAAAUCAUAUUAGGCACAGGCCAAAGGGACAAAAACAAGUAAUGAAAAAUAAUUGGAGAUGGAACAACGGACAGAACAGUUGAAUCACACGGUAGCACUCGUCGUGGUUGCUGAUAUUAUCGAUUCUGUAUAAUCCUUUUUUAUCUUCUUGAGUGCUACUGUGACAUCCCUCAUGACAUCCUCAGGCCAGGUGAGUCACUUGAGCAGAUCAACCCCAGCUCAAAUGUCGCCGUAAGAAAGUCAUUCAGAUUGCCGGCAAAGAAAGAAACACCUUGCAACAGCCGGUCAUCAAGAACAGAGGCAAGCUGAGCUGGAAAUGCUUGACGAACCCACCACCUAAUGCUCAAAUCUGCGACGAACAUGGGAUCUGUGGGUCUCUUUCCAGUGAAGACUUCAAGGAGCAUGAUUCCAUAACUGAAAACAUCGCUCUUGCGUGAUGCCUUCCCGUAAGAUCCAUACUCUGCUCAUGAGACCGGAAACAAAGAAUUCCAGCAAGACUGAAUCAGCACUGUUAGACAAAUAUAUACCAAACAAAAUUCAGAGUCACAGUACGGAGUAUGGACGUACCUGGUGCCAUGUACCCAAGUGUUCCAAGCAUGCUUGCAGUGAUCAUAGAGCAGUCAUCACCCAAUAGCAACUUUGCGAUUCCAAAGUCCGCUACAUGUGCUGUCAUGUCUUCAUCAAACAGCACGUUGCUAGGCUUCAAGUCACAGUGCAGGACUACCUCGUGAUGCUCAUGGUGCAGAUACUCCAUUGCCAUUGACACAUCUAGCAUGAUGUCCAGCCUCUUGAGGAACCCUAAGUGCUCUAUGCUGUCAGAUUGCAAGAGCAUCUCUAAGCUACCACGGGGCAUAUAUUGAAGCACCAAUGCCUUGAACUCCACAUUGGAGCAGACAUUCAAUAUCUUUAUCAAGUUCCUAUGCCGAGCCAUGCGAAGUGUGCUGCACUCAGCAUCAAAGCUUCUAAUGGCCUGCUCCUGCUGCAUGUCUAGAACUUUUACUGCCACCGUGAAACCGGUACUAAGUUGACCUUUAUAGACCUUUCCAAAGCUCCCAGUCCCCAACAGGUUGUCGUCACUAAAAUUACUGGUGGCAAGGACAAGCUCAUGGUAUGACAGGUGCCCAUGGUACAUAACAUUUCUAGGAUCAAUGACAGAAUCUUCAACCUCUCCCUUAUUUUUAAUUUUCUUUCUAAUGGUUUGGUAGAUGAAAAUAAUAGUACACCCAAAUGCUAUGGUUACAGAAGGGAGCAGGAAUCUUAGAAAGGGCGUCGUAUUUGAGUGAGGUUUUUCCAUACAUGGAGAGAAUCCUAAACGAGGUAUGCCACAAAGCCCAACAUUCCCAACCAAAGAUUGCAACGAGAUGUUAGAGAAAACACCGCCCUCUGGUACCUUGCCUUGUAGAUUAUUAAAGGAGAGAUUUAAAGUUUUCAAGAAGGUUAAAUUGGCUAGGAACAUGGGAAUGGUACCUGAGAAAUUAUUGGAGGAGAGGUCCAACAACUCGAGGCUCCUCAGCUCUUUAAAUGACAGGGGGAUUGAGUCCUCAAAUGAAUUGUGCGAUAGGAUUAGAUAGCUGAGCAUGCUUAGUUUCUCAAAUGAUUUGGGGAUGCUUCCAAGCAAAAAGUUGAAAGAAAGGUCAAUUGUAACCACUUGUUUCAUCCCACCAACGUCACUUGGUAGUUUACCAGAAAAGGAAUUGAUAGAAAGAUCUAGCAAUAUAAUUUUGUCAAGGCGGAACAAACUUGCCGGUAUAGUUGAAUUGAAUUGGUUGUCAGACAACGAGACGUAUUCUAGCAUGGUAAGAUUUCCAAUGCUAUCAGGUAUAGUGCCAUGAAAUCUAUUUCCAUAGAGAUAAAGCAAUUGUAAGUUUCUGAGCAUACCAAUUUGUGCCGGGAUAGUCCCUAGCAUGUCAUUAUGAGAGACAUCAAGCCAAACGAGAUUUUGCAUCCUCGUGAUAGAUUCUGGGAUCUCUCCUGUGAGCUGGUUGUUGGCAAGAUAAAUAAUCUCAAGACUGCUCAAGUUCGACAGUGAGGAUGGAAGCCCACCUGUUAGCUUGUUGUCACCAAGUCUAAACUCAAAUAAUUGUGCAGACAGAUUCCCCACAGUGUCAGGGAUUCGUCCGGUGAAAGAAUUAUAAUCUAGUACAAGGUGUUGGAGUCGCACAGAGCUGGAAAGAGAUGACAGGAAGUUAAGAUUCCCACUCAAAUUAUUAGAUUGCAGCUUAAGCAAGUUCAAAGUUGGUAUGUUCCCAAGUGUUUGUGGUACGGAUCCUGACAAUAUAUUAUAACACAAUGCUAGGAAAGUCAGUUUUGAUAAAUUUCCAAGAGAAGGUGGAAUUGGACCUGUUAGCAAAUUCACUCCGAGAUGCAAAUACGAGAGUUCUUGCAUGAGGCCUAAUUCUUUUUGAAUCUCUCCUGUCAGGUUGUUGAAAGGAAGGUAAAGUAUAUUGAGAUGGGUGAGAUUGCUAAGAACAGCUGGGACAGAGCCAUGUAAGGAAUUAGCACCCAAGUUUAGAUAGGUAAGCAUGGGCAGUGAGCCUAUUCCUUGGGGUAUUGGACCUGAUAGGCUAUUGUUUGAGAGGUUGAUGUGGUUGAGGGAAGGUGUGUUAUUGAACAGAUACAAUGGUAUGUUGCCACUCAACUCAUUCCCUGCUAGAGUAAACCACUGAAGGUUUCUCAUGCUUUGCAGUAACCGUGGUGGAAUCUGCCCCGAGAGGGUGUUGUUACUUAGGCGAAGAAACUCGAGGCUUUUGAGGUUUCCUAUGGUACUAGGAAUGGCGCCUGAGAGGCCAUUUCCACGAAGAUCGAGGAAUCUAAGUCGAUGUAGCCUUCCAAUUUCAGGAGGGAUGAGUCCAGCGACACCAAUUCUUGUGAGGUUGAGCAUGGUGAGGAAGGAAAGAUUACCGAGGUGUUGGCUGAGCGGUCCAUGGAGGGGCACGUCCACCAAACGUAGAGCCGUGACGCGCGGCCGGUGGUGGCUGCACGAGACCCCGACCCAUCGACAGAAGGAUACGUUGGAUGUCC